rnacentral:miRNA from 1 species
UACAGAUGGUUGUGAGCCACCAUAUGGUUGCUGAGAAUUGAACUCUGGACCUCGGGAGGAACAGUCUGCUUUUAACUGCUGAGCC